AAACCAACUGGGAUUACCUUAGUAACGGCGAGUGAAGCGGUAAAAGCUCAAAUUUGAAAUCUGGUACUUUCAGUGCCCGAGUAGUAAUUUGUAGAAUUUGUCUUUGAUUAGGUCCUUGUUUAUGUUCCUUGGAACAGGACGUCAUAGAGGGUGAGAAUCCCGUUUGGCGAGGAUACCUUUUCUCUGUAAGACUUUUUCGAAGAGUCGAGUUGUUUGGGAAUGCAGCUCAAAGUGGGUGGUAAAUUCCAUCUAAAGCUAAAUAUUGGCGAGAGACCGAUAGCGAACAAGUACAGUGAUGGAAAGAUGAAAAGAACUUUGAAAAGAGAGUGAAAAAGUACGUGAAAUUGUUGAAAGGGAAGGGCAUUUGAUCAGACAUGGUGUUUUUGCAUGCACUCGCCUCUCGUGGGCUUGGGCCUCUCAAAAAUUUCAUUGGGCCAACAUCAAUUCUGGCAGCAGGAUAAAUCAUUAAGAAUGUAGCUACUUCGGUAGUGUUAUAGCUUUUUGGAAUACUGUUAGCCGGGAUUGA
rnacentral:rRNA from 1 species